CAUUCCCGGGAAUCACAGUACCGAUGCCACUGCGAGCACACCAGGGAAAGCUGCACCUAAACACCAGGAUACUCUGGGAAAACUGACUCUGAUCCCGUGGAGGAUGAGGAUGAUUCCCAGCCUCUUUCCUGGGAAGCUGCCACGCUGGGAAAACAUAGAUGGAUCCAGCAGCUUGGCUGAGGGUUGGAAUGGCCUCCUGGUGGUUUCUGUGGAGCUGGGAGAGGCCAGGAUGCUCUGAAGCCCUAAUGGAUUGCGGACACGGGGAGACACAAGCCCAGACUGAGCAUUUAUUCCCAAGAUAAAAUCAAGCCAACGCGAGACAAGCCGAGGUAGAUGGUCUGGUGGAUCCACACAUCGGGAUCACUCCAAGCCAC